rnacentral:rRNA from 2 species
AAAAGUGCGUCGUAGUCCGGAUUGGAGUCUGCAACUCGACUCCAUGAAGUCGGAAUCGCUAGUAAUCGUGAAUCAGAAUGUCACGGUGAAUACGUUCCCGGGCCUUGUACACACCGCCCGUCACACCAUGGGAGUGGGCUGCAAAAGAAGUGGGUAGUUUAACCUUUCGAGGAGGACGCUCACCACUUUGUGGUUCAUGACUGGGGUGAAGUCGUAACAAGGUAGCCCUAGGGGAACCUGGGGCUGGAUCACCUCCUUAUACGAUGAU